CUCUACUGGACUCUACUGGACUCUCCUGAACUCUACUGAACUCUACUGGACUCUACUAGACUCUACUAGACUCUACUGGACUCUCCUGAACUCUCCUGGACUCUCCUGAACUCUACUGGACUCUACUGGACUCUACUGUUCUAGAUGUGGCCCCUGGACUCUACUGUUCUAGAUGAGUCCCCUGGACUCUACUGUUCUUGAUGUGGCCCCUGGACUCUACUGCUCUAGAUGAGUCCCCCGGACUCUACUGUUCUUGAUGUGGCCCCUGGACUCUACUGCUCUAGAUGAGUCCCCCGGACUCUACUGUUCUAGAUGAGUCCCCUGGACUCUACUGUUCUUGAUGUGGCCCCUGGACUCUACUGCUCUAGAUGAGUCCCCCGGACUCUACUGUUCUAGAUGAGUCCCCUGGACUCUACUGUUCUUGAUGUGGCCCCUGGACUCUACUGCUCUAGAUGAGUCCCCCGGACUCUACUGUUCUAGAUGAGUCCCCUGGACUCUACUGUUCUUGAUGUGGCCCCUGGACUCUACUGCUCUAGAUGAGUCCCCUGGACUCUACUGUUCUUGAUGUGGCCCCUGGACUCUACUGCUCUAGAUGAGUCCCCCGGACUCUACUGUUCUAGAUGAGUCCCCUGGACUCUACUGUUCUUGAUGUGGCCCCUGGACUCUACUGCUCUAGAUGAGUCCCCCGGACUCUACUGUUCUAGAUGAGUCCCCUGGACUCUACUGUUCUUGAUGUGGCCCCUGGACUCUACUGUUCUAGAUGAGUCCCCUGGACUCUACUUUUCUUGAUGUGGCCCCUGGACUCUACUGUUCUAGAUGAGUCCCCCGGACUCUACUGUUCUAGAUGAGUCCCCUGGACUCUAAUGGACUCUACUGUUCUAGAUGAGUCCCCUGGACUCUACUGUUCUAGAUGUGGCCCCUGGACUGUACUGUUCUCGAUGUGGCCCCUGGACUCUACUGUUCUCGAUGUGGCCCCUGAACUCUACUGUUCUCGAUGAGGCCCCUGGACUCUACUGUUCUAGAUGUGGCCCCUGGACUCUACUGGACUCUACUGGACUCUACUUUUCUCGAUGAGUCCCCUGGACUCUACUGUUCUAACUGAGGCCCCUGGACACUACUGGACUCUACUGUUCUAAAUGAGGCCCCUGGACACUACUGGACUCUACUGUUCUAGAUGAGGCCCCUGGACUCUACUGGACACUACUGUUCUAAAUGAGUCCCCUGGACUCUACUGGACUCAACUGGACUCUACUGGACCUCCGUUGGACUGAAAAGACACUUUGGUUCUUUGACUGUUAAACUCGUCUCAGAGGUUGAACCAGGUGGAAACGUGUGAUGUGUUUUAAUGUUUGUUUUAUUUAAAGGGCUGAAAAUAACCGUUUAAUCAAGUUUAACUCCAGUUUAACUCUAAUAUAACUCUAGUUUAACUGAGUUUAGUAAUUCCAGUUUAACUCUAAUAUAACUCCAGUUUAACUCUGAGUUUAGUAACUCCAGUUUAAUUCUAGUUUAACUCCAGUUUAACUCUAGUUUAACUCUCAGUUUAGUAACUCCAGUUUAACUAUAAUUUAACUCUGAGUUUCACUCUAGUUCAGCUCUGUGUUCAGUAACUCUAGUUUCACUCUACUUUAACUCCAUUUUAACUCGUGUUUUACUCUGAGUUUAAUAACUCUAAUUUAACUCCAGUUUAACUCUGAGUUUAACUCCAGUUUAACUUUAGUUUAACUCUCGUUUACUAACUUCAGUUUAACUCUACUUUAACUCUACUUUAACUGAAGUUUAACUCCAGUUUAACUCUUGAGUUUAACUCCAGUUUAACUCCGAGUUUAACUCCAGUUAACUCUGAGUUUAGUAACUCUAGUUUAACUCUAGUUUAACUCCAGUUUAACUCUAGUUUACUAACUUCAGUUUAACUCUACUUUAACUCUAGUUUAACUGUAUUUUAACUCUGAGUUAACUCUAGUUUAACUGUAGUUUACUAACUUCAGUUUAAGUCUACUUUAGUCUGAGUUUAGCUCCAGGUUAAAGGACUUUAGCCACUGACUGACCGUGUUUUAUAUCUUCGUGUUACGACGAACUCUUGAAGAAAACUACGAUGAACGAAGAACCAGAAACGGAGAACGUUGUUGAUGAAUUGAAGUAAACGUGUGUCGUUAUAAACUGCUGCAUUAUAAUCAAUGAAUAAUAUAAUCAAUAAGUCUCAUUAAACUGUACUAUUUAAAACACUUUAAACCAGUUUAACUUUAACCUCUUUUAAACUCUUAACUCCAAACUAACUUCAAUCCUGAAUUAAACCUUAGUUUAAUUUCAAGUUAAGUGCAACUCUAAUGUCGUCUUUUCUCCAUUUAAACCCAGUUUAACUCUAAACUUGAAUUCCACUUUUAACUCCAUGUUAACGUCAGUUUAUCCCUGGUUUAAAUCAGAUUUAAUCUUGGAUUAACUCUGGUUUAAAUCAGGUUUGAUCCUGGAUUAACUCUGGUUUAAAUCAGGUUUAAUCCUGGAUUAACUCUGGUUUAAUCCUGGGUUAACUCUAGUUUAAUCCUGGGUUAACUCUGGUAGUUUAGUCCUGGGUUAACUGUGGUUUAAUCCUGGGUUUACUUCAGGUUUAAUCCUGGGUUAACUCUGGUAGUUUAGUCCUGGGUUAACUGUGGUUUAAUCCUGGGUUUACUUCAGGUUUAAUCCUGGGUUAACUCUGGUAGUUUAGUCCUGGGUUAACUGUGGUAGUUUAGUGUGAGGUUGGCGUUGAGGGUUUGUGGAGAAUAAUCUCCGAACACUAAGACUUCCUGUUUACAGUUUGUGUGACGUCGUUUGUUUUCUGAUGUUUAAUGUUUUAUUUUAUUUUAUUUUGGUUCUUCGAACGUUUUAUUGACUUUAUUUUUAUUUGACUUUAUUUUUAUUUUGACUUAAUUUUUAUUUCCUGAACCGAUCGAUCAGUUGAUUGAUCAGUGACUGAUCGAUCAGCACAUCCUGCAGUUUAUUGAUCAGUGGACUUUUCUACUGUUUAACUGUUAGACCGCUCACUUCCUGCUGCUGCUUCACAAUAAAAGCUUUUCUAAAAUGAACCUCUGGAAGGCUUUUAAUGUGAAGGUGCAGCAGGAAGUGCAGUCCUGAAGGUUAUUGAGCUCGGACUCGGUGUCAGAGGAAGCAGCCAAUCACAUCGUCCCACGCCAGCAGAUUGACGGUACGCGUGGCGGUGAAAUCUCACGUCUGUUUCCUGUUUUAUCAAAAUAAAAGCACCGUGUUCUGAACUCUGACUGAUGAAAAUAAAACCAAAUACACCCAC